AUUGAACGCUGGCGGCAUGCUUUACACAUGCAAGUCGAACGGCAGCACGGGAGCUUGCUCCUGGUGGCGAGUGGCGAACGGGUGAGUAAUGCAUCGGAACGUAUCCAAUAAUGGGGGAUAACGCACCGAAAGGUGUGCUAAUACCGCAUACGCCCUGAGGGGGAAAGUGGGGGAUUCGCAAGGACCUCACGUUAAUGGAGCGGCUGAUGCCGGAUUAGCUAGUUGGUGAGGUAAAGGCUCACCAAGGCGACGAUCCGUAGCUGGUCUGAGAGGAUGAUCAGCCACACUGGGACUGAGACACGGCCCAGACUCCUACGGGUGGCAG
rnacentral:rRNA from 1 species